rnacentral:rRNA from 1 species
UACGGAGCAUCCAAGCGUUAUCCGGAUUUAUUGGGUUUAAAGGGUGCGUAGGCGGCCUAUUAAGUCAGGGGUGAAAGACGGUAGCUUAACUAUCGCAGUGCCUUUGAUACUGAUAGGCUUGAAUGUACUUGAGGUAGGCGGAAUGUGACAAGUAGCGGUGAAAUGCAUAGAUAUGUCACAGAACACCAAUUGCGAAGGCAGCUUACUAAAGUAUGAUUGACGCUGAGGCACGAAAGCGUGGGGAUCAAACAGG